UUUGGGUUUAGUAUUUAGGGGUUAGAUUUAGAUUUACGGUUUAGAAUUUAUGAUUUAGGGUUUUGUUAGGCAUCAUUAUUUUUUUCAAUUAUUUUAAAAAUUUUAAAUACAAUUUAAUAUUUUUUAUUAGUUAUCUAGGUGGCACUUUGAUUGGUGGUGAGAGAGGUAGUAAAUUUAAAAGUUCACAAUAGGGAGUGAACCUAAAUUUUGUCUUUAGUAAUAUGAAUGAAAGUACUUUAAAAUCUAAAAAAGUUAAUUUUUGGGAAACGAAAGAAAAUCUAGAAAAUAUAGACUUAUUCUUGGGUUCACCUUCUAGGGUAAAUCUGUAGGUUCACCAACCAAUAGGAUUGUGUUAUUUCAUAUUCGGUAUCUUUUAAAAAGGAAACAAAGUAUUGUUAAAUUAUAUUAUUUUUUAAAAAUUAAAAGGUAAAAAGAAAUAAAUAAAAAAUAGUAGUAAUUACAAAAAAAAUAUUUUUAACGUCGUCAGCAAAACAUUAAACACUAUAUCGUAAUCCCUAAUCCCAAAAUCCUAAACCCUAAACCCUUGGGUAAACCCUAAACUGUAGGAUAAAUCUUAAACUCUAGGAUAAAUCUUAAACUCUAAAUCAAAAUCACUAAACACUAAAACACUCAAAGGUUUAAGGUUUAGGAUUUAGGGUUUAGAGUUUUAGGGUUUGUUUUUAUUUAGAGUUUAGGAUUUAUCCAAGCGUUUAGGGUUUACCCAAGGAUUCAGGGUUUACCCAAGGGUUUAAUUAGGUUUAUCCAAGGGUUUAGGAUUUAUGAUUUAGAGUUUAGUGAUUAUGAUUUAGAGUUUAGUGUUUUGCUGACGACGUUAAAAAGAUUUUUUUAAUUAUUUUUUCUGUAACUGCUAUUUGUUUUUUUACUUUUUUUUAUUUUAAAAACAUAAUAUAACUUAAAAAUAUUUUGUUUCCUCUUUUAAAAGAUAUCGAUUUGAAAUAAUGAAAUUCUAUUGGUGGUG
rnacentral:lncRNA from 1 species